rnacentral:rRNA from 1 species
UACGGAGGGUGCGAGCGUUGUCCGGAAUCACUGGGCGUAAAGGGCGCGUAGGCGGUUGGGGUAGUCCGUGGUGAAAGCUCGUGGCUCAACUACGAGUCGGCCAUGGAUACUCCUCGACUUGAGCACUGCAGAGGCAGGUGGAAUUCCGGGUGUAGCGGUGGAAUGCGUAGAGAUCCGGAAGAACAUCGGUGGCGAAGGCGCUCUGCUGGACCAUAACUGACACUCAGGGACGAAAGCUAGGGGAGCGAAUGGG